rnacentral:rRNA from 1 species
UACGGAGGGGGCAAGCGUUAUUCGGAAUUACUGGGCGUAAAGCGUGCGUAGGCGGUUUGUUAAGUCUGUUGUGAAAUCCCCGGGCUCAACCUGGGAAUGGCAAUGGAUACUGGCUCGCUAGAGUGUGAUAGAGGAUGGUGGAAUUCCCGGUGUAGCGGUGAAAUGCGUAGAGAUCGGGAGGAACAUCAGUGGCGAAGGCGGCCAUCUGGAUCAACACUGACGCUGAGGCACGAAAGCGUGGGGAGCAAACAGG